rnacentral:lncRNA from 1 species
UGGAUAUUGACAACUACUAUGGCCAUAAUGGAAAAAUACUAAAAAAGGCUUAAGUUUGGGGAGGAAAAUUUUUUUAAUUAGAGGAAGCCACAUCAGUGGAAACAACAAAAACAAAUGUAGAUUUUACUUACGAAAGAAGCAACAAAAUACUAAUGCCUUCUCACUCCUAAGCUUCCAAAUGUCCACAGUAUUAGAAUCAGCGAUCUGCCACCUGAUAGAAAUCUCCAGUUGCUCAGGCUGUAGUGUCAACGGCCACAUUACUUUUGUCAACAAUGGAAACAAUCAGAAUUAUAAUCAGAAAUAAACUAUACCAAGAAAUGUGCUUAGCAUGGUAGAUCUGAAGUAUUGAAUCACUGCAUAUGAGAUUCAACCAGAGAAGCCAAGAGAAACUGAGCCCCUUAAAGGGCACAAUUUAGACCUUAAGGUACACAAUUCUACUGGCUACCAUUUUAGAAUUCAAGUCAAUAACGCUUCACUAGAAACUGGAGAAAUUGUCAAAGGAAAACUCAGAUGUUGAGUUAGUUUUAUGCGUGCUAAUAAUUUACUUACAUAUAUGAAGGAGAAAUAGGCUGUUGUCAAUCACAAGGGCAAAAACAGAUAUAUUAGAAAAAGAAGAGGGGAAGGAAAAUCUGGAAAGACCGAGUUUUAUUUUCAGAUGUCGGCAGCUAGCAAAGAGGCUGAUUGUGUCAGGAUGUGUUGAGCAGCCUGAUGGGGGUGGUCAGAGGAAGCCAUUUUAGUUAUUUGUGGAUUCUUUAGGAAGGCUUGAGAGUUGAGCUGGAGCACAGAGGAGAUGAGUGGAGAUCCAGUUGAGUUUCAAGAUGAGAGCCAUUUUGUUUUCCUAUUAAGUUCUAUUUAAUCAAUGACUAUUGGACAGAUUUGUCUUCUGAACGUUGUGUUAUGAGGUGAAUGCUGUGAGUGGAAUGUAGGAAGAAAUUUGAUAGAAAAGAAAAGAAAUCUUACAAUGUUGUAAAGCAGGCUUACUAUAGAAAUAUGGUAGGAUUGAAGAAAAUAAUUUCUUUACCAGAUAAAGUUUUUUUUGUUUUUUUUUUAAUCCAAGUAAAAGUUUGUUUCCUUUAUCCUGAAUUUUACCGUGAAAUCUGCAUUUUCCCCAAGCAGGGUGAAUUCAGGUGUUAUUUAAAGAAAAAUCCCAAAUAUUUAUUAUGCAAAUUUCAUUAUUUACAAUGUUUUAAUUCUUGUGUUAAGAAUUUCCUCCUUCAUCCCCUUCAUCUCAUGCAGCCUUCUUUUUUUUUUUCUUUCUUCAAUUUUCUUUUUUUUAAAUUUUAUUUUAUUUUUAAACUUUACAUAAUUGUAUUAGUUUUGCCAAAUAUCAUGCAGCCUUCUUUAUCUAAUCAUUACUCUGAAAUUCUCCCUUUUUGUAGCAGCCUACAGUCAUCCAUAAUCAACUUUCUUUCACAACCCUUUACACUCUUAAAACAUUUUGAUCUUUUAAAACAUUUUGAUGACUUGUCCUUUGGACUUUUCUUUUUUUUUUUUUUCUUUUUAAACUAA